UGUUCAAGUACACAAAUUAUAAGCCAUUGAAAUACAAAGUGGGUAAAAACAACUAUUACAUCUCCCUUGUUUUUGUAAGUGACCAUUUCAAUGGUCAACAUCAGAUAACAAUACUGGCAGGUCCCUCAUUGGAUCCGACGGCAGAGAGUGAUGCCAUCACCAACAGGAAGCAUGCAAAUUUCAAUCCUGGGGUCAGCAGCAAGUGCCUUGUUGAGCUCCAAAACAAAGUCCCUGUAGUACCUCACAUACUUCCUCAUUGGUGCAUCAGGUGGAGCCACCACAGAUCCAUUCCACAGAGUGUUGUCGUACCCAAUCAGCCCACCAACUUUUACAAGCUCAAUCAACCUCUUGUGAUAAUUUAUAUAAUUGUCCUUGUCAGCAUCCACAAAGAUGAAAUCAAAACUUCCAUGGCACUUCCCCUGCGUUUUCCCAGACAGAAUAGUAAGAUUAGUAAUAGUCAUAUAAUUUAUAUAUCAAGUUAAAAAACGAGCAUCGUUUCUUUUUCUCAUACAAGUAGACAAAAAAGGAUGUUUUUCCCUCUUCCAUUUUCAUUUUUUGUCGAACAUAGAGUAUUUCUUACAUCUUCAAUCAUUUGAUCAAGAACUGGUAGAGCAGGGCCUUCCUUGAAAUCAAUCUUGUGCGCAACACCAGCUUUCUGAAUUACUGGGAGACCCAAUUCGUAGUUUUCUCUGUUGAUGUCCAUAGCCAAGAUCUGCAAGAAACAAAAUCCCAUUUAUUUUUUAUCAUCACAUGAAUUUAUUUAUUUAUUUAUACUUAAUAAAUUUUGAUUUGGGACCGAGACAUUUUAAGUUUUUAGUUUACCUUGCCAUCCUCAGGGAUAGCCAGGGCAGUGGCCAAGAGAGAAUAGCCAGUGUAAACACCGAUCUCCAUGGUGUUUUUGGCAUUGACAAGCUUCAAAAGCAUAUUCAAGAAUUGCCCUUCAUCAGCAGAUGUGGUCAUGAUGUUCCUGUUUCCCAUCAUUCACGUCAAAUUUAUUAACAUCACACCAUAAGCAUUAAUAUCAGACAAAAUCUCUUAUGUUUAUGUAUUUAAAUGUAUGUGAAAAUCAAGAAACAUACCAAGGAUGCUUGGCAGUCACCUCCCUGAGCUCCUUCAUGCAUUCAGGCUCUCUUGGAUACACACUAGUCUCGAGA
rnacentral:lncRNA from 1 species